CAGUAGCCACGGGAAUACAGAGGGUGCGAGCGUUAAUCGGAUUUACUGGGCGUAAAGCGUGCGUAGGCGGCUUCUUAAGUCGGAUGUGAAAUCCCUGAGCUUAACUUAGGAAUUGCAUUCGAUACUGGGAAGCUAGAGUAUGGGAGAGGAUGGUAGAAUUCCAGGUGUAGCGGUGAAAUGCGUAGAGAUCGGGAGGAAUACCAGUGGCGAAGGCGGCCUUCUGGACUGACACUGACGCUGAGGCGCGAAAGCGUGGGUAGCAAACAGGAUUAGAUACCCCGGUAGUCCCUGUCUCUUAUAC
rnacentral:rRNA from 1 species